rnacentral:rRNA from 1 species
UACGUAGGGACCAAGCGUUGUUCGGAUUUACUGGGCGUAAAGGGCGCGUAGGCGGCAAUUCAAGUCAUCUGUGAAAUCUCCGGGCUUAACCCGGAACGGUCAGGUGAUACUGUUUUGCUAGAGUGCGGAAGGGGCAAUCGGAAUUCUCGGUGUAGCGGUGAAAUGCGUAGAUAUCGAGAGGAACACCAGAGGUGAAGCCGGGUUGCUGGGCCGACACUGACGCUGACAGCGCGAAAGCCAGGGGAGCAAACGGG